rnacentral:tRNA from 1 species
GCCCGGGUGGUGGAAUAGGUAGACACGGCGGUCUUAAACACCGCUGCUAGCAAUAGCGUGCGGGUUCGAACCCCGCUCCGGGCA